UUAAUUCUGAAUUAUUGCUUUCAGUUUGUUAGACUGCUCUGAGCUCUUCAUGCAGAUCUCAUUAGACUCCUUUCUGACAGGCAUAGCAGCUCCAGUUUUCAUCUAACUUUGGAGAUACCAGAAACGUUUGGACUAAAACGAUAAUUAGAGGGAAUAGGCUCCAUGAUUGGUAAUGUAUCACAGAACUCAUCCAAGGCACCUCACUGGAAUCUAUGCAGAAUGAACUAACACUGCUACAAUAGAGGUCUACCACAAUGACUCUGGUCUGAAAGGUGAUGACAGGCUGUUUGUGGAUUCCUGCCUGCUGCCGCUGAACUCCUCACCUGCCCAACACAAGGACAUUCCCUUAAGACUCUUUCCAGCACAGUCUGGAAAGCCUGAUCAUCAUUUAGGUUUGCAUGUUCUCUGCCAAAUGAUGCAUAUACUAUGUGUACGGAGAAGUGUACUGGAAUGUGUAAUACAAGCAGAAGAUCUAUACCAAAAGGCAGGCUGUCUUUAUCUGCUUGGUGUUUGCCACCGGUCAGAAGAGAAGAAAAGCUGUGCUGCUGUUCUGUUGGACCAUGGAAAGGGCACAGCUAGCACGUGGGCAAUGAGGCUCUGCCCUGUCCAUGCAGCAGGCAACAAAAAUGGUCACUAUUCCCAGCUUUUAUUCUUCAAAUUCUAA
rnacentral:lncRNA from 1 species